rnacentral:rRNA from 1 species
GUGGGGAAUAUUGCGCAAUGGGCGAAAGCCUGACGCAGCGACGCCGCGUGAGGGAUGAAGGUUUUCGGAUCGUAAACCUCUGUCAGAAGGGAAGAAACUACAUUGUGCUAAUCAGCAGUGUACUGACGGUACCUUCAAAGGAAGCACCGGCUAACUCCGUGCCAGCAGCUGCGGUAAUACGGAGGGUGCAAGCGUUAAUCGGAAUUACUGGGCGUAAAGCGCACGUAGGCUGUAGUGUAAGUCAGGGGUGAAAUCCCACGGCUCAACCGUGGAACUGCCUUUGAUACUGCACAACUUGAAUCCGGGAGAGGGUGGCGGAAUUCCAGGUGUAGGAGUGAAAUCCGUAGAUAUCUGGAGGAACAUCAGUGGCGAAGGCGGCCACCUGGACCGGUAUUGACGCUGAGGUGCGAAAGCGUGGGGAGCAAACAGGAUUAGAAACCCGGGUAGUCC